UACGAAGGGGGCUAGCGUUGCUCGGAAUCACUGGGCGUAAAGGGUGCGUAGGCGGGUCUUUAAGUCAGGGGGGAAAUCCUGGAGCUCAACUCCAGAACUGCCUUUGAUACUGAGGAUCUUGAGUUCGGGAGAGGUGAGUGGAACUGCGAGUGUAGAGGUGAAAUUCGUAGAUAUUCGCAAGAACACCAGUGGCGAAGGCGGCUCACUGGCCCGAUACUGACGCUGAAGCACGAAAGCGUGGGGAGCAAACAGG
rnacentral:rRNA from 1 species